UGUUCAGCUGUAAUUAUCCCGACAUUGUAAAUCAAUUAUAAUUUUUUAAUGUAAAAAAAAAUGAGGUUGCCCUUUUAGAUUUAUGUUGGUUUUUUGCAGUUUUCAUUUAGAAUAAAUGUAAAGUUGUUAGUUUUCUAUAUUUUUUAGUUAGAUUGUUUUUUAAGAGACAGGAUUGUAAAGUGGGAAUAUUGAAGACUUUGGAGUCAGAUAGAUCUGAAUUUUAUCUCUGUGUGACCUAAUCCAUCUGAUCCUUAGAUUUCAUAUCUGUAAAGUACAGGAUUGCUGGGAGUUUUGGGGAGUGUGUGCAGAAGACCUGACACAUACUAGGUGCUCAUUAUAUGACAGUUAAAUUAUCAUUGCUAUUGACAGCAGAUGAUAUAUAUAAAUCCUGGCCAUCAUUUGGUAGCCUUAAGAGGCUUCAGAGAAAUCUUCAUGGCAUUGAAGAACCCCAGGAGGUUUUAUUGUUCUUAGGUGGUAUUUGAGCUGGGCUUUAAGGCAAGCAUUGUAUAUGUUAUUUGGACCAUCAUGCCCUCAAUAUCCUCUUCUCAUGUCCGACAUUAUCAAUGUAUUACAGCAUUAUUUCUUGUUGAGCUCAGAGUCCUUUUCAUAAUUGCUCAAGAAUUGCUUGUAAUUAAUGGGAAUUGACCCAGGAGGCACCGUCUUUUCUUUAAGUCCAGAUACACAAACAAGCUAUCCAAGCCACGCCUUUGGUGGCCCACUCCAAUCCUGCCUUUGCUUCCUUUCAGUCUUGUCUUUGCUUUGUGACCAACAGGUUUUGGAAAAAGUUGCCUCUGGUGACCCUGAACUUGCGCCUUUAUGAGUCUCAGCAGCAGGAAGAGAAGUCCAAACCCAUUAGCCGUUAUCCCGUUCCCUACGAAAAGGACCUGCCUUUUGAUGUUUGAGAGCUCUUGGAGGAGAUAGAAAAGAAGACAGGAUUUUUACCAAAUGUAUUUAAAGUGUUGUCUCACUGGCCACUGGAAUUCAAAGCCUUCUUUGUUUAUUACAAUAUCAUCUGUAACAAGAAAACAGGCCAGCUCAGCAGAGCUGACAAGGAGCUCAUCAUUUUGGUGACCAGCCUGGCCAACAGGUACUCAUAUAGCGUGGAGUGCCCAGUACAGGGUCUUCUUGAAGAAGCCAGUGCUGUCUGACCAGGUCUGUAUCAACUGGAGAAAGUCUGACCUCCCUGCCCGGGAAAAGGCAAUGCUGGAAUUUGCACUUGCUCUUUCCCAAGCUGAUGACAUAACAGAUGACCAUUUCAAAAAGCUCGAGGUGCAUGGCUUCAACCAGGAAGAUGCCUGGGAUAUAGCUGCAAUUUCAGCUUUUUAUGCCAUGUCCAACCGCCUUGCUCAUUUUGUCAAUCUUGUUCCCAACAAAGAAUUCUAUUUGAUGGGCAGAACCAAUGAUGUCAAAGAGAUCAGGAGUGAACCUGCUGCUCCUAAAAUAUAAAAACCUAAACAGAAAGGCCAGUGUUUACAUUUCUAGCACAUUUCAUUAUAAGACACCAGUUGGGAAGUAAUUUUUUAAAAAAUAUUUAGUCAACAGAUAGGGAAGAAAGUAAACAAAUUUGUUCUCUGCCUCCUUGAUGAGAUUGAUGUGUUUUUGCUUUUUUUUUUUUUACUUUGUUGUGAUUGGAAAGGCGCAUCGGGAUUGGAAAAGAGUUUCGGGGCAAAGGAUUCCAGAAGAUGCUUCAGGCAUUUCUAUUGAAUUGAUAUCUGUGAAUUUCAGCGGUUGAAGUUGAACAUUUUUUAGUUUUUAAAAAAACAGCAUCGCAUAGAAAUUGGUCUAUAGACUGCAGUUUGAAAUAAACUUCUUGUUAACACA